CAGUGAAGAAGGAGGGUUUGUUAGUCGACGGUAGCAAACAAGGCACAGUAAGUGCACAUCAUUGGCAGCUAAAAGCUCUGGGCACCGUCCCUCUGGUUGUUCCAGAGAAAUGCCAACCGUUUUGGCGUCGACAGGGCCCUCACAGACGGCGCACGAAGGCACAGAUGGCACUAAUGGACGAGCAGAAUCCAACCGAGGGACCGGGACAGAGCCACACCGGAGCGCCGUCCAAAUAACUGUAGUGUGAAUGUACUGUAUGGCCAACGAGCCGCUCUGCUCUAGCGGGGACGAUGCCACGGCAAUGCGGCAUAAAGAAUUUAAAAUGAUAAAAUAAUCAUAAGAGAGGGAGAUCGUGGGAGGAUCGGCGUGGAGCGCUGCCAGGAAGAUCAGACAGAGGAGGGAUUGUUCUCAGGAUGAUAUGUGCCGAAAUGAGUUAGACAGACGUCGUCUAAGUCAACCCACUCCAGCCAGACAACUGGGUUUACAGCUAAAGGACUGACUGAAGCACUGUCUAUUAAAGAAGAUCCAGUUCAUAGGCCGCACCUUCUCCUGAUACAAUGGUACUUUUGUUCUCACCUGUGAUGGGACUUACAUAAAAAAGAUAUUUCCCAUACGAUACCCGAAUGCCGCAGAAUUUAACAUUUGUUUUGCAAAGCAUUCACAAAAAAAUCCCUGUGUCAACCACUUGCUUCUUAAGCUAGUAGUGCUAAGCAGAUGCUUGUAGGAAGAACUAGUCACAGCUUUUAAUGGUGCAAACAGGCUACUGAAACCCAGUUUGGAGCACCAUGUUCUUUGGAUAAAAGUUGAAAUACUUCUAAAAGGUCACGAUAGCUUAAGUUUGGGCCAUCUUCAGCCGCCUGCGUUGUUUCUAAAAAUGCGAGCGGCUUUCAGAGGUGAGAGGAAAAGCAGAUAGGUGGGCAGACUGGAAGAAAUUAUGGCAUUACAUUAUUUUGCAAUCUAGCAAAAUAUAGAUAACAGUUUAUCAGGUGCUAGUUGGCAAAGAAAAUACAGUAAAAAGCAUUACAACCUUAAAUGAUGACACAAGUAAGAUACUAACUUGUAGAACACUUUGUAUAAAAACAUGCAAACUGCAGUAGCACCCAAAUUCCACAACAACAAAAAAGGAAAGAAAAAGAAGCCAGUUGUACAGUGGACACACAGCUGCUCAAUGUCCCAGAAGCUCAGAUCUGCAGUCCAACAUGCUCAGACAACAUGUGCAAGCCUUCCGAACAAGGAUUCCAAACAUAAACUGAAAAUAAAGAGGGGGCCAUUUGUUAAUUUUUCUUCUGGUUGCCACAGUGUAUCAGCGUCGACAGAGGGCCAGUGGGCUCAUCUGUACUUUUAAAUUACGUGUCAUCGCCACAACCGUCCUCCCAGAGCAGCCAGGAGAGACGCCACAAACACUCAGAACUGCACUUAAAACAUAAGCUCACACCAUGUCUCCAGGCAACAACCACAUCAACUAAACAGCUCUUAUUUUUGCUUUAAAUAACAUUGGCCCUUCUGAUACAACACUGUUUUGGUCAACAGAAUGAACUUGCUGAAACCUAAGGGUUUUUAGAUACAUACAUACCAACAGCAAUGAUGACAAAUACAUUAACAGGAACAAAUGUGUUAUGGUAUUUAGGACAUCUAGCAUUUUCUUCUUCUCUAUAUUGUUUCAAGAUAUUAAUAUGACUUUGUUGGGAAUUAUUUAUUUAACCCCUGCGGAUAAUAAAGAUAUUAUAAAACACAUUAUAAGACUAUUAUAAGCAAGCAGCCUACACAAACUAAAGAAGGCGAUAGGAUUACCUCACUUGCUGAAUAAUAGUGUCAAACCGGUAAGAACAAGUAUAUAUUUCCACCUGCAUUCUGCAAUUAUGGUCUGUCAUUUUAGAAUUUCCCCAUCACCCCAGUGGACUGCCUCACAGGCGAAGCAUUGACUAGUUAAAUAUCUAGUAAUCAAUAUAUAUUUGAAAGUCUUCAUGGAGAUAAAAACAGCAUUUAUUGUCUGAGAAAUUGAAAACAUAUACAGUCGAGCUUUAAGGAACACGUUGGUCUUUGGACAAAAGUAGUCGAUAACCUCUUCCAGAUAGCAACAACAAAAAGAUAUAUAAUUGCAGAUAUAAGGGGCAGAGAAUGGAGGAAGAAAAUUGUUGUUGCUUAUGUGUACUAAACAUUUUCUAAAACUAUACUUUCUUAUAUACUUUCUAUAUUAGACAAUGAUCUGUCUGGAUCACCUGAUAAGAGUCGAAACAAUUUUCUCUGCAGAACGUAUCCAUCAAGUCGCACGAAGGCCUCUGAGCGUGAUAAAAGCAGUUACAAUGUGUAGAUGGUGAAAUAUAGUCAUUUGUCUUUCCUCAUUGCUGCAGUAGAUAUUAUAUUCAGAAAUAAAACAUGUGCAUAUAUGUCAAUAUUUGUAUAAAAGCAAGCAAGUACAGAGUUGUUGGUGAAUUAGAUUUUGAAUGAUAUGAUGAUGUUCGCCUUCAUGAUUAGAGAUAUAAAACGUGUGUUAGGAUAUUCAAGGUUACACAUUGAUUCUAACUUCUCAGUUUCUGAUGUGUCAGGGAGACCAACAUAUUUUAAAUAUCAUUACAAAUCUGCAUACAUGGAUUGCUGCUCUGGUUUCCACUCAUGCAUGGUUUGAGUAAAUGUUACUAAAUCAG